rnacentral:rRNA from 1 species
UACGUAAGGUCCAAGCGUUAUCCGGAAUCAUUGGGCGUAAAGGGAACGCAGGCGGUUAAGCAAGUUAGAAGUGAAAUCCUAUAGCUCAACUAUAGUAAGCUUUUAAAACUGGUCAACUUGAGGUAUGGAAGGGAGAGUGGAAUUCCUAGUGUAGCGGUGAAAUGCGUAGAUAUUUGGAGGAAUACCGGUGGCGAAGGCGGCUCUCUGGACAAAAACUGACGCUGAGGUACGAAAGCGUGGGGAGCAAACAGG